GCAAGAAGGGGCUCCUUAAACCACACCGGACGUUUGUGGUCCAGAAUUGGUCACCACCCUCAGGAUGUCACCAUGCAGUGCUUUGUGGACUGAAAUCCAUCUGUACUCACAGAUGUGGCUGAAUGCAGAAACACUCAAGACACCCCCAGACUCCAAAGCCUGACUGUGGUAUAAAAUCCUCAUUGCUUUUUCCCUCCUAUGUACCUGGAGCUACACAUGAAACUUCUUGGGAAUCUCUGUCUGCCACCCAGGCUGGAGUGCAGUGGUGCAAUGUGGCUCACUGAAGGUUUAAACUCUUGGACUCACGCAUUCCACCCAUCUCAGCCUCCUGAGUAGCUGUGAUUACAGAACAAGCUCCGCAAAAACAGGCAUUUUCAUCUGUCUUGUUGGCUGUGUUCUCUGCACCUAGAGC